ACACAAAACAAGCGGUGAAUGCUUUGGGGUGGGGUGACUGCGUACCUUUUGUAUAAUGGGUCAGCGACUUAUAUUCUGUAGCAAGGUUAACCGUAUAGGGGAGCCGGAGGGAAACCGAGUCUUAAUUGGGCGUUAAGUUGCAGGGUAUAGACCCGAAACCCGGUGAUCUAGCCAUGGGCAGGUUGAAGGUUGGGUAACACUAACUGGAGGACCGAACCGACUAAUGUUGAAAAAUUAGCGGAUGACCUGUGGCUGGGGGUGAAAGGCCAAUCAAACCGGGAGAUAGCUGGUUCUCCCCGAAAGCUAUUUAGGUAGCGCCUCGUGAAUUCAUCUCCGGGGGUAGAGCACUGUUUCGGCUAGGGGGCCAUCCCGGCUUACCAACCCGAUGCAAACUGCGAAUACCGGAGAAUGUUAUCACGGGAGACACACGGCGGGUGCUAACGUCCGUCGUGAAGAGGGAAACAACCCAGACCGCCAGCUAAGGUCCCAAAGUCAUGGUUAAGUGGGAAACGAUGUGGGAAGGCCCAGACAGCCAGGAUGUUGGCUUAGAAGCAGCCAUCAUUUAAAGAAAGCGUAAUAGCUCACUGGUCGAGUCGGCCUGCGCGGAAGAUGUAACGGGGCUAAACCAUGCACCGAAGCUGCGGCAGCGAACGUAUCACCCAAGACAACUUUACGGAGUUGACGAUUGACGGAGCGAAGCGACGUCAAAGCGUUCAUUAAAGUCGAGUUGGCUUAGGGAUACGUUCGUUGGGUAGGGGAGCGUUCUGUAAGCCUGUGAAGGUGUGUCGUGAGGCAUGCUGGAGGUAUCAGAAGUGCGAAUGCUGACAUAAGUAACGAUAAAGCGGGUGAAAAGCCCGCUCGCCGGAAGACCAAGGGUUCCUGUCCAACGUUAAUCGGGGCAGGGUGAGUCGACCCCUAAGGCGAGGCCGAAAGGCGUAGUCGAUGGGAAACGGGUUAAUAUUCCCGUACUUGGUGUUACUGCGAAGGGGGGACGGAGAAGGCUAUGUUGGCCGGGCGACGGUUGUCCCGGUUUAAGCGUGUAGGUGUGUGUUCCAGGUAAAUCCGGUUCACUUUAACACUGAGGCGUGACGACGAGGCACUACGGUGCUGAAGCAACAAAUGCCCUGCUUCCAGGAAAAGCCUCUAAGCAUCAGGUAACACGAAAUCGUACCCCAAACCGACACAGGUGGUCAGGUAGAGAAUACCAAGGCGCUUGAGAGAACUCGGGUGAAGGAACUAGGCAAAAUGGUGCCGUAACUUCGGGAGAAGGCACGCUGACACGUAGGUGAAGUGAUUUACUCAUGGAGCUGAAGUCAGUCGAAGAUACCAGCUGGCUGCAACUGUUUAUUAAAAACACAGCACUGUGCAAACACGAAAGUGGACGUAUACGGUGUGACGCCUGCCCGGUGCCGGAAGGUUAAUUGAUGGGGUCAGCGUAAGCGAAGCUCCUGAUCGAAGCCCCGGUAAACGGCGGCCGUAACUAUAACGGUCCUAAGGUAGCGAAAUUCCUUGUCGGGUAAGUUCCGACCUGCACGAAUGGCGUAAUGAUGGCCAGGCUGUCUCCACCCGAGACUCAGUGAAAUUGAACUCGCUGUGAAGAUGCAGUGUACCCGCGGCAAGACGGAAAGACCCCGUGAACCUUUACUAUAGCUUGACACUGAACAUUGAGCCUUGAUGUGUAGGAUAGGUGGGAGGCUUUGAAGUGUGGACGCCAGUCUGCAUGGAGCCGACCUUGAAAUACCACCCUUUAAUGUUUGAUGUUCUAACGUGGACCCGUAAUCCGGGUUGCGGACAGUGUCUGGUGGGUAGUUUGACUGGGGCGGUCUCCUCCUAAAGAGUAACGGAGGAGCACGAAGGUUGGCUAAUCCUGGUCGGACAUCAGGAGGUUAGUGCAAUGGCAUAAGCCAGCUUGACUGCGAGCGUGACGGCGCGAGCAGGUGCGAAAGCAGGUCAUAGUGAUCCGGUGGUUCUGAAUGGAAGGGCCAUCGCUCAACGGAUAAAAGGUACUCCGGGGAUAACAGGCUGAUACCGCCCAAGAGUUCAUAUCGACGGCGGUGUUUGGCACCUCGAUGUCGGCUCAUCACAUCCUGGGGCUGAAGUAGGUCCCAAGGGUAUGGCUGUUCGCCAUUUAAAGUGGUACGCGAGCUGGGUUUAGAACGUCGUGAGACAGUUCGGUCCCUAUCUGCCGUGGGCGCUGGAGAACUGAGGGGGGCUGCUCCUAGUACGAGAGGACCGGAGUGGACGCAUCACUGGUGUUCGGGUUGUCAUGCCAAUGGCACUGCCCGGUAGCUAAAUGCGGAAGAGAUAAGUGCUGAAAGCAUCUAAGCACGAAACUUGCCCCGAGAUGAGUUCUCCCUGAGACUU
rnacentral:rRNA from 1 species